rnacentral:rRNA from 1 species
GACGAACGCUGGCGGCGUGCUUAACACAUGCAAGUCGAACGGAAAGGCCCUGCUUUUGUGGGGUGCUCGAGUGGCGAACGGGUGAGUAACACGUGAGUAACCUGCCCUUGACUUUGGGAUAACUUCAGGAGACUGGGGCUAAUACCGGAUAGGAGCUCCUGCUGCAUGGUGGGGGUUGGAAAGUUUCGGCGGUUGGGGAUGGACUCGCGGCUUAUCAGCUUGUUGGUGGGGUAGUGGCUUACCAAGGCUUUGACGGGUAGCCGGCCUGAGAGGGUGACCGGCCACAUUGGGACUGAGAUACGGCCCAGACUCCUACGGGAGGCAGCAGUGGGGAAUAUUGCACAAUGGGCGGAAGCCUGAUGCAGCAACGCCGCGCGCGGGAUGACGGCCUUCGGGUUGUAAACCGCUUUCGCCUGUGACGAAGCGUGAGUGACGGUAAUGGGUAAAGAAGCACCGGCUAACUACGUG